AUUGAACGCUGGCGGCAGGCCUAACACAUGCAAGUCGAGCGGGGUUUUCGGACCUAGCGGCGGACGGGUGAGUAAUGCGUAGGAAGCUGCCCGAUAGAGGGGGAUACCAGUUGGAAACGACUGUUAAUACCGCAUAAUGUCUACGGACCAAAGUGUGGGACCUUCGGGCCACAUGCUAUCGGAAGCGCCUACGUGGGAUUAGCUAGUUGGUGAGGUAAUGGCUCACCAAGGCGACGAUCUCUAGCUGGUUUGAGAGGAUGAUCAGCCACACUGGAACUGAGACACGGUCCAGACUCCUACGGGAGUCAGCAGUGGGGGAUAUUGGACAAUGGGCGCAAGCCUGAUCCAGCCAUGCCGCGUGUGUGAAGAAGGCCUUCGGGUUGUAAAGCACUUUCAGCGAGGAGGAAGGGUGGUGUGUUAAUAGCACAUCAUUUUGACGUUACUCGCAGAAGAAGCACCGGCUAACUCUGUGCCAGCCGCCGCCGUAAGAC
rnacentral:rRNA from 1 species